rnacentral:rRNA from 1 species
UUUCCGUAGGUGAACCUGCGGAUGGAUCAUUGU